CAACUACUCCCUCUGUCCCAAAUUUCUUGUCUUAGAUUUGUAUAGAUACAGAUGUAUCUAAUACUAAAAUGUGACUUGAUACAUCUGUAUCUAGACAAAUCUAAGACAAGAAUUUUGGGACGGAGGGAGUACUUU
rnacentral:pre_miRNA from 1 species